AUUGAACGCUGGCGGCAGGCCUAACACAUGCAAGUCGAGCGGAGCGGCGGACGGGUGAGUAAUGCCUAGGAAUCUGCCUGGUAGUGGGGGAUAAAGUCCGGAAACGGGCGCUAAUACCGCCUAAUAUCAGAUGAGCCUCGGUCGGAUUAGCUAGUGGGUGGAGUAAAGGCCUACCAAGGCGACGAUCCGUACCUGGUCUGAGAGGAUGAUCAGUCAAACUGGAAGUGCGACGCGGUCCGGACUCCUACGGGAGGCACAAGUGGGGAAUAUUGGACAAUGGGCGAAAGCCUGAGCCAGCCAUGCCGCGUAUGUGAAGAAGGUCUUCGGAUGUUAAAGCACUUUAAGUUGGGAGGCGUUACCAACAGAAUAAGCACCGGCUAACUUCGUGCCAGCAGCCGCGGUAAUAC
rnacentral:rRNA from 1 species